rnacentral:rRNA from 1 species
UACGUAGGGUGCGAGCGUUGUCCGGAAUUAUUGGGCGUAAAGAGCUCGUAGGCGGUGUGUCACGUCGGCCGUGAAAACCUGCAGCUUAACUGUGGGCGUGCGGUCGAUACGGGCAUCACUGGAGUUCGGCAGGGGAGACUGGAAUUCCUGGUGUAGCGGUGGAAUGCGUAGAGAUCCGGAAGAACACCGGUGGCGAAGGCGGUCUGCUGGGCAGUUGCUGACACUGAGGCGCGACAGCGUGGGGAGCAAACAGG